UGUGUGUCAUUCUACAACUGCAGCAAAGACAGAUUCUUCUAAAUCAGUGAUGUAUAUGAGUUUUUGGAUCUUUUCCUAAUUAAUUGUACUCCUGCACCCCAAACCUACACAGAUCAGUUCAUGGGGAAAAGCCAAGGCAUCAGAUUCGAUGAUGAUAAAGUUUCUUGAUGCCCACCAAAUCUUCGGACCUAUAAGAUGGAUCUGCCUGCAUAGCAGACCUUUCAGAAUAGCCAAGGUGAAGAAAUACUGAUUCAUUUCUCUCUAAAUUUAAAUGACAUACUUGCAUCAAAUCUUCCAUAUCUCAAAACUAAAAUUCAUUGAAAUUUCAUACUUUCAGUGCUUUUUGUGAUGUAUUUCUUUGUAUCCAUUUUGGCUUGUUGUUUUUAAUUAUUUUUUUUUUCCUGUAACUUAUUCAUUUUUCUGGAAGGUAUUUUAGGCAAAAAUUCUGUAUCUGUGAUUGCUGCCCUACCACACAGCUUGCUAACUUCAUUCCUGUGUUCCAGAAUCCUAUAUCUCUUCCUUUUAGUGCAAUAAGUAAGCCUAAGCAAGCUCAUUGUUCAGACUCCACCUUCCCCUAAAUGUGAAGUGCAUGUCUGCAACUGAACUCAAUUAUAUAUAUUAAAUUUGCUGUAUGCAAUGUAAUAUUUAAAAACAGGAGGGAAGGGGAAGUAAUUCCCCUUAAAUGUCUAUCUGAAAAUAAAUAUCUUUGCUGCUUUUUAACCUGACUGAGCUUGAGAAAGCCUCAUGACUCUAAAGCUCUGCUGGAGCUAUGUAAAUGCAUAUGAUGGAAUGCAUAAUGUGUGUUUAAUAAAAUGUAAUGAAUUUAUGAGUUGA